rnacentral:sRNA from 1 species
AGAUACCAAUGUUAUUUAUCUUAUCCACAUGUGUUCUUUAGUUGUUCAGUAAAAAUCCUAUGUUCCUAGAUGUAGGUUAGAGUGAUACUUAAGCUGUGCUUUGGAUGGGGGCAUGCUGCUUUGUAAAUGUCAAGACUGACCCAUUUACUUUUCUUCCUUAGGUGCUUUGGAAAUCAUAUAUUGAUUUUGAAAUUGAGCAGGAAGAAACAGAAAGAACACGAAACCUUUACCGGCGGUUGCUUCAACGGACGCAGCAUGUCAAGGUAUGGAUCAGCUUUGCUCAGUUUGAGUUGUCUUCAGGAAAAGAAGGAAGUUUGACUAAAUGCAGACAAAUUUAUGAAGAAGCUAACAAAACCAUGCGCAACUGUGAAGAAAAGGAAGAGAGACUUAUGCUGCUGGAAUCUUGGCGAACUUUUGAAGAAGAAUUUGGAACAGCUUCAGAUAAGGAGAGAGUAGACAAACUCAUGCCAGAGAAAGUCAAGAAGAGAAGAAAGGUCCAGACUGACGAUGGGUCUGAUGCAGGCUGGGAAGAAUACUUUGAUUACAUCUUUCCAGAAGAUGCUGCCAACCAACCUAACCUCAAACUCCUGGCCAUGGCCAAACUGUGGAAGAAACAGCAGCAGGAAAAGGAGGAUGCUGAGCACCAUCCAGAUGAGGACGUCGAUGAGAGUGAAUCCUGAUCUUUUUUUCAUAGACAAAUGUUUUGUUAUUUUUAUAAAUUAAUUGUUUGGAA